AGAGGAGACAUGGGGUGUAAAUUAUCGUGCUUUGCGUGAUUUGUUCAGCACUACAAAGGCAAGAAGGGACAUGAUAGAGUAUGAAGUGGGAGUCCAAGUGAUUGAGAUAUAUAAUGAACAAGUGAGAGAUCUCUUGGUCAUUGACGGGGCUAACAGACGAUAUCCAUGAUUGAGAUAUAUAACGAACAAGUGAGAGAUCUCUUGGUCAUUGACGGGGCUAACAAGCGAUAUCCUUUACAUUGAUAUAUGAUGAACUAUAUAGUAACAUGCUCACCUAAAUUUGGAUUUAGUUUCAGGAAAAGUGGCUUUUAUUUUGUUGUCUAACCUUAACAUUCCAC
rnacentral:lncRNA from 1 species